GUGGAGAAGGAUAGAGUAGUAAUUUAAAUGGGGGUGUUGAGAUUCUCGUGAUUGACGAAAAGUAGAAAGAAUUAGAAAUAAAGAAACAGAGAGAAAGAAGUGAAGAGGGUUGCUGCGUUGCAUUAGAGAAAAGGAAUGUCGUCUUGGAGAUUUGAGAAUACCAUCCCAAUAUUGAUGCGUGUGGCUAUUAGAAAAACUUUCCUUCUCUUCCGCCGCGUUUCUCUUUUGAUCACCGAUCUCAUCGCCGUCGCAUCCUCCGUCAUCAGAUAUUCCCGCUGGCAUUCCCGCCCAACCCUCCAAGUUUCUUCUUCCGAUGAUAGCCACCUUCCAAUCAUUGCUAUGCUUUCGACGUUGUAAGAGGAGUAAGAGAAAAUAGAAGUGCGAGGAUUUGAGGAAGGAGAAAAAGGAACAUGAGUGCCGAGGAUUUGAGAGAUCAAUAGUGCCACUAUAGAGAAAAUAGACAACGCGAUUCAAGUGGUAUAUGAAUUUAGAAAAAUGUUAAUAUCCAUUGUUUUCAUAAUUUAGAUCAUUCGAUAUUAACACAACUUAAACUA